CCUACGGGCGGCUGCAGUGGGGAAUAUUGGACAAUGGGGGGAACCCUGAUCCAGCCAUGCCGCGUGUGUGAAGAAGGCCCUCGGGUUGUAAAGCACUUUCAGUGAGGAAGAACGCCUGGUGGUUAAUACCCAUCAGGAAAGACAUCACUCACAGAAGAAGCACCGGCUAACUCCGUGCCAGCAGCCGCGGUAAUACGGAGGGUGCGAGCGUUAAUCGGAAUUACUGGGCGUAAAGCGCGCGUAGGUGGCUUGAUAAGCCGGUUGUGAAAGCCCCGGGCUCAACCUGGGGACGGCAUCCGGAACUGUCAAGCUAGAGUGCAGGAGAGGAAGGUAGAAUUCCCGGUGUAGCGGUGAAAUGCGUAGAGAUCGGGAGGAAUACCAGUGGCGAAGGCGGCCUUCUGGACUGACACUGACACUGAGGUGCGAAAGCGUGGGUAGCAAACAGGAUUAGAUACCCGGGUAGUC
rnacentral:rRNA from 1 species